rnacentral:rRNA from 1 species
GGGCACUCUAAGGAGACUGCCGGUGACAAACCGGAGGAAGGUGGGGAUGACGUCAAAUCAUCAUGCCCCUUAUGACCUGGGCUACACACGUGCUACAAUGGUUGGUACAACGAGUUGCGAGUCGGUGACGGCGAGCUAAUCUACUUAAAGCCAAUCUCAGUUCGGAUUGUAGGCUGCAACUCGCCUACAUAGAAGUCGGAAUCGCUAGUAAUCGCGGGAUCAGCACGCCGCGGUGAAUACGUUCCCGGGCCUU